AAAGAAUUUCUCCAGUCUGGAAAAAUAAAUUUACUUAAAAAAGGUAUGGAGUAUAUAAUUUCAACAAUAAAGUGAAUUCACUAAGGGAAAAGGAUAAAAUCAUAAAGAGGAGCACUUAGCAGUAGCAAAAAUUGCUAGCUCAGCAGCAGGACUGAGUGCGUUUGCUCACAAAUUCACCUGGUAUGGCAGGGAUCAGUUGAGAAGAAAGAGGCAGCUGCAUUGAAGGGUUUCGGGAGGUAUGUGCACUGGGACCAAAGCACUGGGAGCUUAAGACUGAGAUCUGUAUUCACAUGAGAAUAAAAUUGACAGGAUCAGAGGUAUGAAGAGGUCACGGGAGUUAAGUUUACAUAUUCAAACAAUUUAUUAUUUGAUUUUGUUUGCCUGGGUUAUAGUGACCUUGACACAGACCAAAUGUGGAAAGACAGACAGCGGAUUCAUCUGGGUUUUUCGACUGGACCAAGCAUUAACUAAGAUCUGAAGAGUAACUGAACAGGAUUUUUUAUUUGACUGCAUUUGCGAGGCUGGCACCCACAGAGACAUAGACUUUUCAUUUAAAAUUCAGCCCUUCUGUGAGAUGCUGAGUGAUGUUCUUGGAACCAGACAAAAUUGACCGGAAUUUGUGAAAAGGUAAUCAACUAUUCCUUGCCUACUGAAACCAGUGAAUAUAUGUACACACUGCUUUGAGAAUCUGUUCUUUUUGUUACAGAACAGAUGUCUGGGAGGUUUUUGGCAGGCCCCACUCUGUCAAACAGUCCGGUUUUGACAGCUACUUGCUUGAGGGAUGGCUGAAAUGCAAAGUAUUUCUGAUCAGAAUAUUAUAUUCAUCUGGAUGUUAAUUACUGUGUCUGCCUUGGUAUAAAUAAUUAAUUAUGCAAAACCCACACAGCUGCUGCUGGACAGAGUUAAGUGACUUGCUGUCAAAGUCUCACAGUUCUGGAAGGAAAGGAGGAUUUAGUAAAACAUGCGCUGUAACAGAGAAUAUGGUAUGAGGAUUUUCUUGUCAGGAUCCUUCUUUCGUUGAAUAAAAGACCGUUAUACCACAGCGUGGCGUGUGUGUGUGUGUGUGUGUUUUAAAUAAAGAAAUAGCUCCUAAUUUACUUUAAGUUGGCCCUGAAAACAACUCUCUUUUCUAGUUAUUAAGUAGUUUUCUAGGAAUUCACAUACCACAUUAUUAGAGAACCGUUACCAGUUGAACUCCUAAAUCUCUCCUGUUUUCAUCACAUUCAUAAGUCUCAACAGUUCAAAAUAUCCCAUGGAAUUG
rnacentral:lncRNA from 1 species